UACGGAGGGUGCAAGCGUUAUCCGGAUUCACUGGGUUUAAAGGGUGCGUAGGUGGGUCUGUAAGUCAGUGGUGAAAUCCCCGAGCUUAACUUGGGACUGCCGUUGAUACUAUAGAUCUUGAAUAUCGUGGAGGUAAGCGGAAUAUGUCAUGUAGCGGUGAAAUGCUUAGAUAUGACAUAGAACACCAAUUGCGAAGGCAGCUCGCUGGGACGUACUGACGCU
rnacentral:rRNA from 1 species